UAUGUACCCGCACUGAAACAAUACGGCAGUUUCGAUAGCGGCUGCGCAAAAUUAGGUGCGUUUAUCAAAGCUUGCGCUCAAAAGGAGAAAAAUUGUUAGCACUUUUGACGCUUCGUACCUUCCGAGAUUUUCAUUAUUUCUACCUGCUUCCUUUUUUUCACGAACAGGGGGCUUGAAAGAAGGCGCUGAGAUCUUACUCUACGCAAGCGAAAACUACAGCUGCGCCGUGCUUAACGUCACAUAUGUAUUGGGCGUUCCAGACUACUGGUUUGAUCUACGCGUGCGGAAUUCCUCCGUGGACAUGGGACCGACUAAGGAGUGCCAAAAUAUCUUCAAGCACUACGCUCCGAAGUCCCAGCAAAUGUAUUCUUCCAAUUGUCAGAAAAUUCUAGAUGCUCCUACCGUAUCUACUACUCGCUUUUCAGAAAUGCUUAAAUAAAUUGAAAAUUGACGCAUUUUUAGGGAAUUUAUUUCCGUAGGUCAUUUUGUUUUUGCACAAUAAAAUGUAAGCUGUU